GGGCAACAGAGUGAGACCCUGUUUCAAAAAUUGUUUUAAAAAAGCAUUCUCACUCUUCAACUUCAUUCCUCAUGUUCACCAAACACUGAGAGUGCCUGUCUUCAACAACUUCUCAUGCACCAGUUCUCUGUGCUCACCUUGUCUGGUUCCAGGUUUGAAAGUGUUAGCACACUGGGGCUGGAGACAGGAUCUUUGGAGUCAUCCAGAAAGCUCCAAGUAUGAAACUAUUCCAGUUCUGAACAUAGGUAUGGACUUACAGGAUGAACAACGUCAGCAUAAAAAUGUAAGAUAUUCUCAUGUGAAAAAGAACCUAAGAAAUCUGCUCAGGGCCCUAACUGAGUAAUUUAAUCAUCAGAUCUAUUGAUUUCUUUCUACAACUGCCCACAGAUUGGAAUGCCAUUUUUUGUCAUUUAUUUAUUUAUGCAUUUAUUUAUUCAUUCAUUUAUUUAUUAAAUGGAGUUUAUUUUUCAGAGAAAGCUUAGGUUUACAGCAAAGUUGAACAUAAAGUACAGAGUUCUCAUAUACUUCCUCCCCCACCAUUAACAUCUGGCACCUCAGUGAUAAAUUUGUAACAGUCCUUAGUCUCAUGAACCAACAAUGAUACAUCAUUAUCAAUAAAAGCCCAUAGUUUACAUUAGUGUUGUGCUUUCUAUGAGUUUCGACAAAUACAUAAUGACAUGUGCUAUGGUUUGAGUGUGUUUGUCCCCUCCAAAAAUUAGGUGUUGGAAACUUAAUCUCCAGUGCAACAGUGUGGGGAGAUGAGGCCUAAUGUGAGGUGUUUAGGUCAUGAGGCCUCCACCUUCCUGAAUGGAUUCUUUUAGAAAAUGGGUCUUUGGGAAGAAUAAUCUGUCUCCUGCUCUUCUGCCAUAUGAGGAAAUAGCAUUACUCACCUCUGGAAGAUUCAGCAAGAUGGUCCUAACCAGACACCUGAUGUAGGCACCUUGGACUUCCCAGCCUCCAGAACUGUGGGAAAUAAAUUUCUGUCAUUUAUAAAUUACCCAGACUCAGAUAUUUUGUUGUAGUAGCACAAAAUGAACUAAGACAACAUGUAUUCACCAUCAUAGUAUUGUACAGAAUAAUUUUAUUCUCCUAAAAAUCCUCUAUGCUUUGCUUAUUCAUUCCUCUCUCUCCCUAGACCCCUGAAAACCACUAGUCUUUUUACUGCCUUCAUGAUGUUGCUCUAUCCAAAAUGUCAUAUCGUUGGACUUGUACAAUAUAUAGCCUGUUUAGAUUGUCUUCUUUCACUUAAUAAUAUACAUCUAAGGUUCCUCCAUGUCUUUUCAUGGCUUGAUAGCUCAUUUUUUUUUUUGCACUAACUAAUAUUCCAUUGUCUAGACAUGCCACAGUUUAUCUGUUCACUUAUUGAAGGUCAUCUUGGUUGCUUCCAAGUUUUGGCAAUUCUGAAUAAAGCUGCUAUAGACAUCUACAAGCAGGUUUUUCUGUGGCAUAAGUUUUCAACUUUUUUGGGUAAAUACCAAAGAGCACUAUUGCUGGGUUAUAUGAUAAGAGUAUGUUUAGUUUUGUAAGAAACCACCAAACUGAUUUCCAAAGUUUCUGUACCAUUUUGCAUUCUCACUGGUGAUAAGUAAGAGUUCCUUUUGCUCCACAUCCUUGCUAGUAUUUGACAUUGUCAGUGUUUUUCAUUUCAGCCAUUCUAAUAGAUGUGUAGUGGCAACCUUUUUUAUUUUUUAAGAUAAAAGUCUUUCCUAGUUGGAAUUGCCUAACAAUGAGUAUGUGAAUAUGAAUCUAAUAUGUUAUCCACUCUCUGUUCUUAAGGAAAAAUGCACUAACUUCUGAGAGCCACACAGUUUGUCCCUUAGCCCCUCCGUUUUAGCACCAUACUUGGCACCCUGUAGGUGGUUAGUAAAUAUCUGCUGGUUGCAUGGAUUCUAAUGACCUAGCUGCCUCUGCUUUCGAGAACCAUAAGGAAUCCAUUUAGAGGGUUUCAGACCAGCAUUUAGGCAUAUGCAUGCACAUAUACAUGAGCACACACACAUACACACACAUACACACACACACACUCUUAUGCUCUAGCUUGGGACUGUAUUAUUUAGACUCUUGAGCUCCAGACUUUGAGUACACCCAAAUGUUGGCCUUGAGGCCAGUAAGUGAUAACAAAUGAAGAAUGUUUUGGUGACGUUUUAUUUUGGUCAAUAAUCAAGUCUAGUAUUAUAUCUGGGUCUUAGACCAUGAAAAAGUCACUCCUCCUAUUGCUGCCCACAUGAACAAGUUUCACACACCUGCGUCUAAGGACACACACAUCUUGUCAAGAUAGAAGCAAAGGCUGAUGAUAGCUGUGUUCACUUCCCUUCUCCUUCUUUUUUCCUUCCAUCAUGGUUCUUCUUAGGAGGGUUCUUGACGUAAGGAGACCUGGCAUUUACUGAAUCCUUUGGAGGUAAACCUACCAUCCAUUUCUUAUGCUCCCACUGUACUCUGUACUUAUUCUGCACUAUGUGCCUGGCAUGGGGUAGGUGGUAAUGCAUGUUUGUUGAAUAACUAAUGUACCUUUGAGCUGAUGUAGAAGUCCAGAGUUUGCUAGUAAAGAACUACAUAACAUUCCUAGGCUCAUUGUUUGGAGUCAUUAUUGUAGCUGCUUUGCAACUGCAGAAAUCACUACACGUUUUCCCUUAUGAGCCCACAUCCAUAGUCAAAUGUGGAACCGAUACUCCCCAACCCCCUACCUUCUGCUUAUUGUCAAAAACACACCACACAUUGUAGCAAUCAUAUUGCCAAAGCUUUACGGCAUCCAUAAAUUGGAAACUACUGCCUCUGACAGUUAUGGGCCUGUGUCAACACCAGAUCAUGCUGACUCUUCUGGAAUGUGUUUGCGAAUGCACUACACCAGCCUUGGAAGCUGUUGACAUCAGAGGCUGUAAGUUAAUUAGAUGUGGCCCCAGAGCAUUGUGGGUCUUGCCAUCUAGGAGAAUUUUUUUUUUUUUCCCUUAAAUUCUUCUCUUUAAUUCAGUCCCAGGGCAGGCGCUGUCUUGGCUGUCUUACUUGGUGUGGAGUCUGAGUUGCUGGGCAAGUGAUGAUAUCUGUGAACAACUUCUCUUUCUUCCCUUUUGGCAGAUGGCAAUAGGAAUGGCUGGAGACAGCAAGAAAUGGUGGUGGCCGUGAAGUCCACUGUGAAGGAGGGACUACUCACCACCUGCAUGUUUUGAGCAGGCUCUGUCCAACCAUGCCAGUGCAGCCCUCCGGGCAGGAUGUUGCUGAGAACUAUGCUGUGACUCCAUUUUAGUGGCCAUGCAAGCUGUGGGCUCCCUGGCCCUUGUGCAUGUAAUGGAGUGCCUGAGAGGACAUCCUGGCUCUUUGGAGGUCCUUUCUCUGCCUUAUUUUUCCUCUUUACUGUAACGUCCUUGUCCUUCAGAAAGAAAAUGAGAAUCUCCCACUGGUUAGAAUAUUCCCCUGAGUAUAUACACAAUUUCUAUUCUAAAGCAGCCAAGAAAGGAAGAGGAUUCUGACUGGUUCUAUCAGGCUUCAAGGAAAAUGGCUAUCCUGUGAAAUCUUCAAGACUUGGGCUCCUUCUCCCCCUGCUGUGCCCUGGUGCAGGGCAUUACACCAGCCUGACAGGUUGUCGUGAGUGCUUCAGCUGACAGGAGCCAGACAGAUGGAGUGACAGACAGAAGUGGACAUCUGGGGCAGUGAGAAAUGAAGCCAAGGAGGUCAGGGAGAGUCCUGCAGAGCUGCUCGCUGCCAGUCUCGUUCCCUGCCCUGUCAUAUUGAUUCAGCUUCAGGUGCCAAGAGCUGAGAAAGAUGCAGAGGAGAAAGAGAGUUUACAUUUGAGUGGUGGGAACCACAUACACACACACACACACACACACACACACACACGCAUACACAUGCAUUUCCACACAAAACCACCUAACAUGCAUCCACACAAGUAUAUGGAGGCUGAGUCAAUACCUCAAGAGUUCUGAAGAGGAAGGAAAGAAAGAUCGCUGUGGGCUGAGGUAUGGAUAAAAGUCUUCAUAGACAGAGGCCUUGACUGAGAUUCAGGUAAGUGUGGCUCAGGUGACAUUCCAGGAUAGACAGUAGUGGAAGCAAAGGCAAGGAGAUGGGAAUGAGGAGCUGUGUUCUGAUGAGGGAGAAGCUUGGGAAGGAAGAUGGAGAAGGGAGACAGGGCAGAUAAGCUGGAGGAUGAGUGUGAGGUCUUGGGGACAGGGAGUUUUGUCCAUUGUAUUCCCUCCUGUGAAUACCUACAGCCCUGUUACCAAUUCACAUAUUUUGACUAUUGUUGAAAGGUAACUUAAGGUUAGAAACAGAAAGAGCUUAAAUACCUUAGGCCAUGUUCUUCAGAUACGUGGAGGGUUUGGGUAGGAUUUUGGGUGGGGUGAGCAAUCAGUAGGUGAUAUGUAGACUCAUAGAAGAGAGAGGUGCUUUUAGGCAGGUGGCCUAAUUAAGAAAUAAAUGUGAUAGUCCAAGCAUUAGCUACUUCAGGACUCAACUAAGUUAGAGAGAGCUCAGAGGGAGUGAGGGGUGGGGAUCAACAAGAGACGCAGUAAGGUUUUUGAAGAACAGGCUCACACAAAAUGAGAUGGAGAAAUCUCAGGAGACCCUCUAACCAAUCCUCAGUCCUAUUUAAGGCAGUGGGGUGGCUGCAGCCAUGGAGAUUUUGCUGUCAAUCUUUGGGGAUACAGAUGCUCCACAAUUUCCAAUGGGGUUACAUCUCAAUAAACCCAUUGUAAGUUGAAAAUAUCAUAACCUAAAAAUGCAUUUAAUACACCUAACCAACUCAACAUUGUAGCUUAGCCUCGCUACUUUAAAUGUGCUCAGAACACUUAUGUUAGCCUACAGCUGAACAAAAUUGGCAACACAGUUCACUGUGUAGUAUCGGUUGUCUACCCUCAUGAUCAUAAGAGAGUAUCACACCACUUUCCACUGACUUUGUAUCAUUUUUGUACCACUGUAAAGUUGAAAAAUCCUAAGUCUAAACAUCUUAAAUCAGGGACUGUCUGUAUUUCAACAUUUUAUUGCUAUUCCCAGAUACAUCCUAGAAAAAUUAUUCUGCUUUAAUUUAAGUUGCUUUGUGAUUCAUUCAUUCAUUCACUCACUCAUUCAUUCAUUUAUUCUUCAACAAUCACCAAGCAUAUACUUUGUGCUUGGCCCUCUGCUAGGCUCUGGGGAUUCAUUCAUAAAUCAGACCUCCUGCCUGCCCUCAGAGAGCUUACAAUUCAGUAGCCAUCAUAUACAUGUAAACAUAUACACAUAUGUGCAAGUAAUAAAGGGCUGUGCAUCUGCAAAAGGCACAAUGAGCACAUAAAGGAAGAUGUCAGCUCUGCAUUGAGGUGUGGGGCUAGGAGCAUCUUAAAAGAGGAAGUGAUCAUUGGAGUUUUCAUUUUAAAGGGUUCACCAAAUGGACAAAAGGGGCCAGGGGGAGAAUUUUCCAGCGAAGAGCAGAGUAUCCAAAAGCCUUGAAGUGGAAAUGACUGAGGUGGACUCCAAAAGUGGAUUUUAAAUUCCCUAUGAUACCAUUUCCAAGAUCUGCUGCCAGUAGUUUCUGAAAUGCCAGGUCUGAGUGCCAGGGUAAGCUGGAAAACCAGCCAGCCAGGACUGCAAGUGCCAGAAGAUUACAAACACAGCCAGCCACUCUGCACAGCUUGCUGGAUAGCCCCGUGCCUUCUCAUUUGUGCCAAAUGGAUGUGGCCAUCAAGAGACCCAGGCUUCAGCUGUAUCCAGCACAAAACAAUUUGGGUACAAGCCACAAAGAGGACCCUAACAGCAUGCAUAAAGACGCCAACUCCUUGAAAUUGAUAUGUUUUGCUUCUCAUUACUGCCAUCCCCACACAUGCCUAUAACAUGGAUUUGAAAUGGCCUGUUUGUAUAAAGACUGCACACUGUUUCAAGCCAUCACAACAAUGGGGUGCAGUCUGCUGUGCAUGAGACCAAGACAAAAUGCCAUUCCAGGUGACUCCGUGACCCUGUGUGAGUAUGUGUGUUUAGGCACCUAUUUAAAACAUAACCACAGGCCAACAUACCUUUUUUGAAGCACAUGGAUAUCAUUACUACACUUGAAUUUUGGGUUGGAAGGAAAUACAGCAGUUAAGCACCUGAAAUCUCAGUAGACAAAAUAAGAACACCAUCAAGUUUUACAACUGUGGGACAGAAGAUUGCCAAAUAUAGGUUCCAUUAAAAAAAUUAGAAACUAA